rnacentral:rRNA from 1 species
AUCAACGCUGGCGGCGUGCCUCAGACAUGCAAGUCGAACGAUUAAAGCUCUCUUCGGAGAGUGUAUAGAGUGGCGCACGGGUGAGUAACACGUAAGUAAUCUACCUUCGAGUGGGAAUAACGUCCGGAAACGGACGCUAAUACCGCAUAAUGCAGCGGCAUCGCAAGAUGACAGUUGUUAAAGAUUUAUCGCUUGAAGAGGAGCUUGCGGCAGAUAGCUAGUUGGUAAGGUAAUGGCUUACCAAGGCUACGAUCUGUAACCGGUCUAAGAGGACGGUCGGUCACACUGACACUGAAUAACGGGUCAGACUCCUACGGGAGGCAGCAGUCGGGAA